rnacentral:lncRNA from 7 species
AUAGGAUUGUUUUUUAGAGAACUUCCUUUCUUGUGUGCAAGGAAGAUUAAUCAGGUAUAGCUUAGGAAUGCCUUUAGCAUGCUGUACAACGAGGGUGCUUUAGUCUUCAAAUUGCUAUGGAUUCAGUGCCUUUCUUUGAAAGGUGAAAACUACUCAUCUGGAUCACAAGACGACUUGGGUUUUUGGAACUGGGAUAAUCUUGUGCAGCUGAAGAUGUUUGUGAGGCAAUUUGCUUCAAAAGAUCUGGCUAGAAGUAUGGUCACUGUGUGUCAGGAGCAAAAUAGGGUCACAGCUGGAACCACUGAUGGAGCACCUGGUGAAGGGGCGUAGCCAGCUCUGGGACACAGGUGGAAGCAAUCCCUCCUAAUCUCAUACAAUGGCUGGCAGCUGCAAAGGAAAAAAUCUCUACUUCGAGAUCGUCUCAUUUGGAGUGUUUGGUGGAUCUUGAUCCUUGGAAUGGGUUUAAAAUGAGAAGUGAGAAGAGUGCUUAGGAGGCUGACGCUUUAAGACGCCAAGGAGAGGACUUAAUGUGUGCCUGAUCUUAAAAGGGAGCAAGGAAUGUUUCAUUCUAAGUUUACAUGAGAGAUGAAAAACCCAGCACACUUAAUGAACUGCCACUUCUGGUGACUUUAUAUGUUGCCAUUGUCUUUAUAGUUAUGAUUGUGAAGAGACAACAUAAAUACACUUCUAAUAGUAGCAUUAUUGAUGUGUUCAACUAUCCCCAAAUAAGCUUCCUUUUAUUUCUAUUUACCCCUGGGUUCUAAUGUUUGUAUACUGUUUGUGUACGUUUUUUGUCUUAUGCUUUGGGUUCUUUUUUACUGGUAGUUUGUGUAAGUUAUACUAUAGAACAAAAAAUACUGCUGUACUAUCAAUAUAAGGGUUCUCCUCUGCUGUUUGCAAGGUGUGUUUGGUACAGCAGUAAAGGGGCUGCAGAGAAAAGUGAGGGGAAAGUAAGAUUGACACAGCAAUAAGUUACCAUAUUUUCCCUGAUGUCCAAGAAUAGUCCUGUUAGCAAACUGUUUCUAUGUUGUUACCAGAAGAAAGGUUGCUGGUAAAGAAGCAUUCUGUCAAGCUUGCUAUCAAGAAUUCUGCAGUCAUUGUCUUUGCUGUGCUAUAGAAGUUAAGCAUUAAGAUUUUUAAAUGAAUUCUGUAUCGUUCUUUACGUUUCAAAAUAGAAUUUUUGGAAAAGAAUAAGCUGAGAUAAUAAAAAAUAUCUGCUAGCUGUAGCAUAAGGCUAGGAAAAAUAGAAGAACACAGGAUAACAGGCUUGCUUCUUGCAACCUGUUGUUGAUUCAGUUGUAGUCUGUGAGGUAGAGCUGUGCUCUCAGUGUAUCAUUCUUAGAGCUAUCAACAAAGCAAUGGUAACAUGAAACUACUUAUGAUCUUUCAGCCACCCAUCCAUAUAGUGUGAGUCUCCAGGCUGUUUUGCACACCAUUUAGGCAUACUCGUGGCACCACUUGCAGGCUUUGUGUGUAAAACAAUACACUGGGUGUUUAGAAUUGGCAGCAGUUCUGGGAAUCCAUCAAGAUGAGAGGUUCUGUAAGCUCUCCCACUGCCAGUGGUGAAAAUUGUAUUUGAACUUUUAAAAGCUGUUCUCUGGAGCCAAAAUUUAGCACUUCUUUUCUAUCUAUCUUUGACGCACUUAUUUCCAAGCAUCGCCUGGGAUAUGCACAUAUAUUGCAAAAAAUUAAACAGAUUCUACCUUUUAGUACCUAUUUUAAAAUACUUUAAUUUCAUGCACCUUCAUUGUGACUUUUUUUUGGAGGGCUUAAUUGCUAUGUUGUGGUAAUGCUUAUCAGAAAGCACUGGAAAGCUUUAAUUACUUUGUACUUUGGUUAGUUAUGAAUGCAUGCAAAAUUUAACUAUUUCCCCAGAAGCAAAUAAAGUCCACGUUUAUUAUGUUACAUAAAAGUUAUGGAAUGAUUUAGAGUAAUUAAGCUAAGGGCUGGCUUACUUGGGAUUUAACUCAUCUAAAUGAUGCAUAAAAUUAAUCUUAGAAAAUUAUUUCACAUUAAACUACUACAUGGAAAAGAAGCAUUAGGAUCUUCUCAAAGUUUCACUGUAGGAAAUGCUUCUUAUUGCAACAUACUGCAGGUAUAUUAAGAGUUGAAGUUUGGACUCUAUUUCUCAAAUAAUCAAAUGAAACUGUUAGUGAGAAGAGACAUGUUUAAGAAAACAACUUUAAAGGCCAUAUAGUGGAGAUUGAGGAAAACAUUAGGACGUUUGUAUAGAUAGUGUGGAAAAGAGCAGGUGUAGGGUAAUGAAAAGAUGAGGAAAAAUUAAAACAAAAGUCAGCGUGCUCUCAAUGCUAGCUUUAAUGUAUUUAUAAAUGUAAUAUGUAUUGUCUAUUAAUGACUUAAAUUUAGGUAUGUUAUUGUCUGAAUGAUUCCUUGUAUACUUGGACUUUUUAAAUAUUCAAAGAAUAACAUAGGAUUACU